UAGAAUGUGGUGUAAUGGGAAACACUAAGAAUUUUGAGUUCUUUGAUGUAGGUUCAAAUCCUAUUGUUCUAG
rnacentral:tRNA from 1 species